rnacentral:rRNA from 1 species
GACGAACGCUGGCGGCGUGCCUAAUACAUGCAAGUCGAACGAGAGCGCCCGGUGCUUUCACUCGUCAAUCUAGCGGCGAACGGGUGAGUAACGCGUGGGUCACCUGCUCAUCAUUGGGGGGUAACAUCCGGAGACGGCUGCUACUACCACCUCGGUCUUCGUACGGCAUGGAUCGAAGGGGAUACGAGGCUCGAGCUUCUGCUGAUGGAGGGGCCCGCGUUGCAUUAGCUAGUUGGUGAGGUAACGGCUCACCAAGGCCAUGAUGCGUAGCCGGCCUGAGAGGGUGAUCAGCCACACUGGAACUGAGACACGGCCCAGACUCCUACGGGAGGCAGCAGUGGGGAAUAUUGGGCGAUGGGCGCAAGCCUGACGGAGCAAUGCCGCGUGAGUGAAGAAGGUCUUCGGAUCGUAAAGCUCUGUUGUUAGGGAAGAAAAGGAGCAGGUUAAUCCGUUGGCGUUUUGACGGUACCUAACGAGAAAGCAACGGCUAACUACGUG